GUGCCAGCCGCCGCGGUAAUACAGAGACUGCAAGCGUUAUUCGGAUUCACUGGGCGUAAAGGGUGCGCAGGUGGCCGUGUGUGUGAGGCGUGAAAGCCCGGGGCUUAACCCCGGAAUUGCACCUCAAACUACAUGGCUAGAGCAUUGGAGAGGGUAGCGGAAUUCACGGUGUAGCAGUGAAAUGCGUAGAUAUCGUGAGGAACACCAGAGGCGAAGGCGGCUACCUGGACAAUUGCUGACACUCAGGCACGAAAGCGUGGGGAGCAAAAGGGAUUAGAAACCCUUGUAGUCC
rnacentral:rRNA from 1 species